rnacentral:rRNA from 1 species
ACGAAGAGUUUGAUCCUGGCUCAGGAUGAACGCUGGCGGCGUGCCUAACACAUGCAAGUCGAACGGUUAAGGCGGCUUCGGCCGCGGAUAAAGUGGCGAACGGGUGAGUAACGCGUGACCGACCUUCCCCCCGCACCGGGACAACCGCGGGAAACCGCGGCUGAUACCGGGUACUCCGGGGCCUUCGCAUGGGGGCCCCGGGAAAGCUCCGGCGGCGGGGGAUGGGGUCGCGUCCCAUCAGGUAGUAGGCGGGGCAACGGCCCACCUAGCCGACGACGGGUAGCCGGGUUGAGAGACCGACCGGCCACAUUGGGACUGAGAUACGGCCCAGACUCCUACGGGAGGCAGCAGUGGGGAAUUUUGCGCAAUGGGGGCAACCCUGACGCAGCAACGCCGCGUGCGGGACGACGGCCUUCGGGUUGUAAACCGCUUUCAGCAGGGAAGAACCUCUGACGGUACCUGCAGAAGAAGCCCCGGCUAACUACGUGCCAGCAGCCGCGGUAAUACGUAGGGGGCGAGCGUUAUCCGGAAUGAUUGGGCGUAAAGCGCGCGCAGGCGGCCGCUCAAGCGGGACCUC